ACAAGGAGAGAUCAGAAGAAACACAAUUAUUUUUGUCUGGCAGAAUACAAAAAGGUGUCACAGAGUUGGCAUUUGAAUUGGAUAUUGGAAGAUGAAUGGAAAUGCACUAGCUGGAGAUGAAAAGAACAUAAUGGACUGAGGAAAGUUCCUUUCCAAAAAUCAAGAAAGCUGUAAAAGGCACGGGGAUUUUAAUAAUUAUCUUCAGUUGGAAUUACAUGUAUGUUGAGUGCAGGGACAAAAUUGAAAAUAGUUAUGCCUGAAAAGUUAUAUGGGAAAUUAUUAUCAAAGGCUAUUGAUGUCAAGCUAAGAAGAUUACAUUUUACCUAAAACACCUAGGAUCUUUAAAGUGGAUGUAAGACUAGUUCCUCUUCCCCAUUCUUAUGUUUUCCAUAUUGUCCUCCUCCUUGUGAAAAAUUCCACCACCGUUGUCAACACUUCACUUUAUAUACCAUACUAAUAUAAUACUUUCACCCAUGAGCAGAAUGGAUGAGAACACUCUCAGAAAUAAAUUAAAAUUACUACACAUAUUGUGUUUGAAAUGGAAAACCAUGAAUAGAUACCUUUAUAGUAAUAAAUUAAAUCUUAACAGGUGACUUGCAGAGAACAUGCAUUCAUCAACAACUUUUGAAACAUAUACGAAAAUUAUCUAAAAAUCCUCAAAAUACCAAUUCAGUUGAAUAUUUGCUGUAUGCCAGGAAAACUUCUGGACACUGAAGAUACUUACAGUCAACAUUACUUCAAGGCAGUUAUGGCAUCCUAAUUACUGUUUUUAGUAAUAUAAUAUCUGCUUCCAAAUACUCUUAGAAAUGGGCAACUUGAUAAGGUGAUUCCUGAAAAUCUCUGCCAUCUUGAUUGUGUUAACUGUGUUUAUUUAAAGAGGCUAAAAAUGAGGUUGGUUUUUAAUGCAUGGUAACUAUUCAUUAAAAAUGAAAUUAUAUAUGAAAAA
rnacentral:lncRNA from 1 species